GAUUCUGAAGAAGACAUGGAGGAGCCUUCCCAAGAACAGAGGUGCUGAAUCACCGAGUCACACCCCAGCUGUACAGGGAUUCAUUUGAAAGGGAAAGAGAGGCUCUCCACACUUGGAAUGUCCGAUUCCCUUCUCAGGACGCUGCAUUGCAGCCACUAGAGCAACACUUACCACAUGGACAAAUCCCCCACUAAAGCUGUCCAGUGAUACCCAUCUUCCCAUGCCUUCCCCACCAGGUUCCCAGCACUGGGUAGGAGUGUUUUUGCUUAUUUUUAAAAAUUCAACUCAAGAGGUUCUGGUAGGCAUUACAUGUCUCUUUUAAUUUGCAUUUGUUUAUUAAAAUAAAGCUGGUUGGAGUUGUGUUUGUUU
rnacentral:lncRNA from 1 species